rfam:Candidatus Cloacimonas sp. 4484_209 ex4484_209_scaffold_17581, whole genome shotgun sequence.
AUUUAUUUGUUGCUAAACUGUUUAGUGAAUGGCUUGGCUUGAUAUCCGAAGAAGGACGUGGCAAGCUGCGAUAAGCCUUGGCGAGGCGCAUGCAGCCUAAGAACCAAGGAUUUCCGAAUUGCUCUUUUUUAAGAGCGGGAACGCGGGGAAUUGAAGCAUCUUAGUACCCGCAGGAAAAGAAAUCAAUAGAGAUUCCCUUAGUAAGGGCGACUGAAAGGGGAAAAAAGCAAACCGAAUUCCUUAUCGCAAGAUAGGGAACAUGUGGGGUAUGGACUUCCUUACUUCCGAUGAGGGCGAUCGAAAUUCUCUGGAAAGAGAUACCAUAGAAGGUGAUAGUCCGGUAGAUUUAACUUAUGAGGAAGAUUGGGAAUGUUCCUGAGUAUUGUUGGUUGGAUUUCCAGCAAGAAGAUGGGAGACACUGACUUCCAACUUUAAAUAUAAUUCAAGACCGAUAGUGAACUAGUACCGUGAGGGAAAGCUGAAAAGAAGGGGUAACACCCUGUGAAAAGAACCUGAAACUAAGCAGUACAGUAUCCGUUCUGAAAAACGGGGUAAGGAGUUUAAGUUUAUGGCAAGGUUAACCUUUUAAAGAGGGCAACCAUAGCGAAAGCGAGUAUGAAAGUGCGAUUAGUCAUAGGCUUAAGACCCGAAGCCAGACGAUCUAUUCCGGGACAAGGUGAAGUGCAGCGAAAGCUGCAUGGAGGCCUGCACCGUUGCUGAUGUGCUACUCGCUCGGAUGAUCCGGGAAUAGGGGUGAAAAGCCAAUCGUGUCUGGCAAUAGCUGGUUCCUUCCGAAAUGAACCGAAGUUCAGCCUGUUUUUUAUAGACCAAUGUGUAAAGAUACUGAUUAGAUAGUAGGGGGAGAAAUCCUUCGCUAUCCAGUCAAACUCAUAAGCGUUGGUCAUUAUUAAAACGGAGUGAGGGUUGCUGGGGAAAGCUCGGUGCCCAAGAGGGAAACAACCCUGACUAACAUUAAGGUCCUAAAAUAAUAACUAAGUGAUGAAAGAAUAUAUUUUCUAAAACAGUAGGGAGGUAGGCUUAGAAGUAGCCAUCCUUUAAAGAAUGAGUAAUAUCUCACCUACCUAGGGAAUAUGUUCUGAAGAUGGACGGGGCUAAGUUAUUUACCGAUAUGUUAGAUUCCGCAAGGAAUGGUAGGAAGGUGUCUUGUUAGGGUAGAAGCUUUUCUUUAAGGAAAAGUGGACCUUUCAAGAACAAGAAUCUUACUGAAAGUAGCAGCAAAGUGGUGUGAGAAUCACCAUCGCCUAAAGUAAGCAAGGGUUCCCUACCAAUGACGUUCAGGUAGGGGUUAGUCUAUAUUCUAAGUUUAUCGUUAACAUAGAUUUUCGAAGAAAAGCUGGUUAAUAUUCCAGCACCAUCAGAUUUUAUUUACUUAGAGGUUUGAGAUAAGCUAGCGCAAGUCAAGCACAGAAACUUCUGGAGUCUCGUAAUGAGGAGAAGGAAGCGAAUGUGUUAUGAGCCUUCGUAUGAAGGUUUAGCCGUGUCUUGGAUCCUGUGAAAACUAAGUAAAGUAUUGAUCUGUUGAUAGUACCCAGAACCGACACAGGUGCUUACGCUGAGAAGGCGAAGGCGUGAUAGGAUAAUUCAAUUUAGGGAAUUCGGCAAGUUAGUGGUGUACCCUUGGUACAAGCCAUGCCUAUUAUCUUUUUGAAUAAUAGGUCUCAGUUACAAGGAAAACCCGACUGUUUAAUAAAAACUUAGCUGACUGCUAGCCCGAAAGGGUGUGUAUAGUCGGUGAAGCCUGCCCAGUGCCAGCACCUCAAAUCUGGUUUCAACCGGACGAAGGACUGGUAAACGGCGGCGGUAACCUUGACCGUCUUAAGGUAGCGUAAAUACGGUCAUAUGAAUUGCUGAACAUGAACAGCAAAUUGUUAACAGUCGUAAUGCAAUCCCUUGCCGAUUAAACGUCGGCCUGCAUGAAGGUCCAACGAGGUUUUCACUGUCCCAAAUUGAAACCUAGCGAACUUUCUUUCUGGUGAAUAGGCCAGAGACUCUCAGUGGGAAGAGUAGUCCCUGUGGAGCUUUACUACAGCCUGCUGUUGUAGUAACUUUUGGAUUGUACAGAGUAGAUAGGAGCUUCGGCGAAAGUGUAACACUAUCCUUUUCAAAAGUUACUGCUUACCUAAAAGCUGGUUUGAUUGGAUUCCGCGAAGUAAAGAAUCCAGGUGCGAAAGCAUGAGUUAGCGAUAUGCAAUUUUGCUUUAGUGGCUGAUUGUAACUCCAGAAAAGCUACCCCAGGGAUAAUGGAGCCGUGGCCCCCGAGAGUACAUACGACGGUUUUCUCAAUAGAGAAAACUAUUGACCAAAAUAAUUUUUUUGGAUGUACAAAUCGACGGGGCGCGUUGCUACUCCGUUGUUGGCUCGUCUCCUCCUGGGUGUGCAUAAGCACCCAAGGGUGCAGGGGUUUACUGCUUAAAGAGGCACGUUAGCUGAGUUAAGAACGGCGUGAGCCAGUUCAGUCUAUAUCGUACGAAAGGAACGGGCUCUCGUGGCCACUGGUGUACCGGUCGUGAUUGCGCUGCCGGGUAGCUACGCCAUCGCGGAUAAGAGCUGAAAGCAUCUAAGCUCGAAGCCGCUCUGAAAAAGAGAUUAAUACAGGUGCUCAUAGAAGAUGAGCUUGAUAGAAGAAGGGUGUAAGUACCAAGCUUCGGCGAGGUAUUCAGCCCAUUCUCACUAAUUCCUAAGCAUCAAAUAAAU